rnacentral:rRNA from 1 species
CCUACGGGCGGCAGCAGUCGAGAAUCAUUCACAAUGGGGGAAACCCUGAUCGUGCGACGCCGCGUGGGGGAAUGAAGGUCUUCGGAUUGUAAACCCCUGUCAUGUGGGAGCAAAUUAAAAAGAUAGUACCACAAGAGGAAGAGACGGCUAAAUCUGUGCCAGCAGCCGCGGUAAUACAGAGGUCUCAAGCGUUGUUCGGAAUCACUGGGCGUAAAGCGUGCGUAGGCUGUUUCGUAAGUCGUGUGUGAAAGGCGCGGGCUCAACCCGCGGACGGCACAUGAUACUGGGAGACUAGAGUAAUGGAGGGGGAACCGGAAUUCUCGGUGUAGCAGUGAAAUGCGUAGAUAUCGAGAAGAACACUCGUGGCGAAGGCAGGUUCCUAGACAUUAACUGACGCUGAGGCUCGAAAGUGUGGGUAUCAAACAGGAUUAGAUACCCGGGUAGUC